UGGGGAAUUUUGGACAAUGGGCGCAAGCCUGAUCCAGCAAUGCCGCGUGCAGGAUGAAGGCCUUCGGGUUGUAAACUGCUUUUGUACGGAACGAAAAAGCUCUCUCUAAUACAGGGGGUGAAUGACGGUACCGUAAGAAUAAGCACCGGCUAACUACGUGCCAGCAGCCGCGGUAAUACGUAGGGUGCAAGCGUUAAUCGGAAUUACUGGGCGUAAAGCGUGCGCAGGCGGUUUUGUAAGACAGAGGUGAAAUCCCCGGGCUCAACCUGGGAACUGCCUUUGUGACUGCAAAGCUGGAGUGCGGCAGAGGGGGAUGGAAUUCCGCGUGUAGCAGUGAAAUGCGUAGAUAUGCGGAGGAACACCGAUGGCGAAGGCAAUCCCCUGGGCCUGCACUGACGCUCAUGCACGAAAGCGUGGGGAGCAAACA
rnacentral:rRNA from 1 species